CAAAGGGUUAAGUAGCUCAAGAACAUUUUGUAUUGGAUACUGAGCCAGAAUGCUCCAGGCUCCUAUCCCUUUGGAAUUGUGUGAACCUGUCACUCCUAAGCCUCAGCUAGUGAAUCCUGUUCAAUGUGCAUGAGAGGGUUGGAGCAGGUGGCCUAGUGAAGUCUUCCAGUCUGUCU
rnacentral:lncRNA from 1 species